UGAUCUAAAUUGAUAUUAUUUUGUGAUGAUACCAUCUAUCUAUUCAUAUUUGUGCAAAUCUUUCUUAAACAGAAAAUGGACACAAUUCAAUGGAUAUAAAAUCAACACAGAGGUAUACAGACGAGGAGGCAUGCAAAAGGCAUGUGAAUUAGUAUUGGUAUGUUAUGCAGAUCACAUUUACCAUCCUCCUUCCUUCACUUGUCAAUGAAUGUCCCAUAGGCCUCUACAUUGUGGACAAGGUAUGUGUAUGAAAACCAUUAUCAAAACUGUUUUUUCAUUAACAUUCUAUACAAAACCAAGGUAUGAACACUGUUGUGUGCAUGUUUUGUUAAUCAUCUGUAUAAAUACUAUUUUUGGGAUUCACAGACUUCACCCUCCCUACAGCUCUGAUGAAUAUAACAGGAAACCUGUUUGAACACCUUGCACUGCAAAAUCAUUCUGGCUAUGGACACGGAGAACAUCAACACAUUAACAUCAACACGCCAGAUGAUAUAUCCAUUGGACCUGGUGCUCUACUGCGAGUUUAUCUCAUAUUCAAAAAAAUGUAUUCUACUUUUCCACUAAAAUCAAAAUAAACACUGAGA